rnacentral:rRNA from 1 species
AUGAACGCUGACAGAAUGCUUAACACAUGCAAGUCUACUUGAACUUCGGUUUGGGUGCGGACGGGUGAGUAACGCGUAAAGAACUUGCCUCACAGUUAGGGACAACAUUUGGAAACGAAUGCUAAUACCUGAUAUUAUGAUUUUAGGGCAUCCUAAGAUUAUGAAAGCUAUAUGCGCUGUGAGAGAGCUUUGCGUCCCAUUAGCUAGUUGGAGAGGUAACGGCUCACCAAGGCGAUGAUGGGUAGCCGGCCUGAGAGGGUGAACGGCCACAAGGGGACUGAGACACGGCCCUUACUCCUACGGGAGGCAGCAGUGGGGAAUAUUGGACAAUGGACCAAAAGUCUGAUCCAGCAAUUCUGUGUGCACGAUGACGUUUUUCGGAAUAUAAAGUGCUCUCAGUUGGGAAGAAAAAAAUGACGGUACCA